rnacentral:rRNA from 1 species
CUACGGGUGGCUGCAGUGGGGAAUAUUGCACAAUGGGGGAAACCCUGAUGCAGCAACGCCGCGUGAGUGAUGACGGUCUUCGGAUUGUAAAGCUCUGUCUUCAGGGACGAUAAUGACGGUACCUGAGGAGGAAGCCACGGCUAACUACGUGCCAGCAGCCGCGGUAAUACGUAGGUGGCAAGCGUUGUCCGGAUUUACUGGGCGUAAAGGGAGCGUAGGCGGAUUUUUAAGUGGGAUGUGAAAUACCCGGGCUUAACCUGGGUGCUGCAUUCCAAACUGGAAGUCUAGAGUACAGGAGGGGAAAGCGGAAUUCCUAGUGUAGCGGUGAAAUGCGUAGAGAUUAGGAAGAACACCGGUGGCGAAGGCGGCUUUCUGGACUGUAACUGACGCUGAGGCGCGAAAGCGUGGGGAGCGAACAGGAUUAGAUACCCUCGUAGUC